rnacentral:rRNA from 1 species
UGGCGGACGGGUGAGUAACGCGUAGGUAUCUAUCCUUGGGUGGGGGGACGAACAGUGGGAAACUACUGCUAAUACCGCAUGAUGACCGAGGUCCAAAGGUCGCAAGACCGCCUGGGGAGGGAGCCUGCGUACGAUUAGCUAGUUGGUGGGGUAAAGGCCUACCAAGGCUACGAUCGUUAGCUGGUCUGAGAGGACGAUCAGCCACACUGGGACUGAGACACGGCCCAG